rnacentral:rRNA from 1 species
AAAGCGAGCGGCGGAUGGGUGAGUAACACGUGGGGAACCUGCCCCUAAGUCUGGGAUACCAUUUGGAAACAGGUGCUAAUACCGGAUAAUAAAGCAGAUCGCAUGAUCAGCUUUUGAAAGGCGGCGUAAGCUGUCGCUAAGGGAUGGCCCCGCGGUGCAUUAGCUAGUUGGUAAGGUAACGGCUUACCAAGGCGACGAUGCAUAGCCGAGUUGAGAGACUGAUCGGCCACAUUGGGACUGAGACACGGCCCAAACUCCUACGGGAGGCAGCAGUAGGGAAUCUUCCACAAUGGACGCAAGUCUGAUGGAGCAACGCCGCGUGAGUGAAGAAGGUUUUCGGAUCGUAAAGCUCUGUUGUUGGUGAAGAAGGAUAGAGGUAGUAACUGGCCUUUAUUUGACGGUAAUCAACCAGAAAGUCACGGCUAACUACGUGCCAGCAGCCGCGGUAAUACGUAGGUGGCAAGCGUUGUCCGGAUUUAUUGGGCGUAAAGCGAGCGCAGGCGGAAAAAUAAGUCUAAUGUGAAAGCCCUCGGCUUAACCGAGGAACUGCAUCGGAAACUGUUUUUCUUGAGUGCAGAAGAGGAGAGUGGAACUCCAUGUGUAGCGGUGGAAUGCGUAGAUAUAUGGAAGAACACCAGUGGCGAAGGCGGCUCUCUGGUCUGCAACUGACGCUGAGGCUCGAAAGCAUGGGUAGCGAACAGGAUUAGAUACCCUGGUAGUCCAUGCCGUAAACGAUGAGUGCUAAGUGUUGGGAGGUUUC